rnacentral:rRNA from 1 species
GACGAACGCUGGCGGCGUGCCUAAUACAUGCAAGUUGAGCGCUGAAGGUUGGUACUUGUACCGACUGGAUGAGCAGCGAACGGGUGAGUAACGCGUGGGGAAUCUGCCUUUGAGCGGGGGACAACAUUUGGAAACGAAUGCUAAUACCGCAUAAAAACUUUAAACACAAGUUUUAAGUUUGAAAGAUGCAAUUGCAUCACUCAAAGAUGAUCCCGCGUUGUAUUAGCUAGUUGGUGAGGUAAAGGCUCACCAAGGCGAUGAUACGUAGCCGACCUGAGAGGGUGACCGGACAGAUGGGGACUGGGAUGCGGCCCCGACUGAUACGGGAGGCAGCAGUGGGGAAUGGUGCACGAUGGGCGGAAGGAGGAUGGAGGAACGCAGCGUGCGGGUAGACGGCCUGCGGGUUGUAAACAGGUUGGGCCUGUGACGAAGGGUGAGUGACGGGAAUGAGUAAAGAAGCACCGGCUAACUACGUG